rnacentral:rRNA from 1 species
UUAAAAGGCCAUGCCACCCUGAGAUUUGUGUAUGAUCUCAGAACCUAAGCAGAGUUGGGGCCUGGUUAGUACUUGGAUGAGAGAUGACUGGGAAUAACCAGGUGCCAC